UGCCAGCCGCCGCGGUAAUACGGAGGGUGCAAGCGUUAAUCGGAAUCACUGGGCGUAAAGCGCGCGUAGGCGGCUAUAUUAGUCAGAUGUGAAAGCCCCGGGCCUAACCUGGGAACGGCAUUUGAAACUGUAUAGCUAGAGUUUGGUAGAGGGAAGUGGAAUUCCGAGUGUAGCGGUGAAAUGCGUAGAGAUUCGGGGGAACAUCAGUGGCGAAGGCGACUUCCUGGCCCAAAACUGACGCUGAGGUGCGAAAGCGUGGGUAGCAAACAGGAUUAGAUA
rnacentral:rRNA from 1 species